UGGGGAAUAUUGGACAAUGGGGGAAACCCUGAUCCAGCAAUGCCGCGUGAGUGAAGAAGGCCUUAGGGUUGUAAAGCUCUUUCGCCCGCGAAGAUAAUGACGGUAGCGGGAGAAGAAGCCCCGGCUAACUCCGUGCCAGCAGCCGCGGUAAUACGUAGGGUGCGAGCGUUAAUCGGAAUUACUGGGCGUAAAGCGUGCGCAGGCGGUUUCGUAAGACAGAGGUGAAAUCCCCGGGCUCAACCUGGGAAUGGCCUUUGUGACUGCGAGGCUAGAGUGUGACAGAGGGGGGUAGAAUUCCACGUGUAGCAGUGAAAUGCGUAGAGAUGAGGAGGAAUACCGAUGGCGAAGGCAGCCCCCUAGGUUACUACUGACGCUCAUGCACGAAAGCGUGGGGAGCAAACA
rnacentral:rRNA from 1 species